GCUGCUGUAGCUCAGUCGGUAGAGCGUCGCCUUGGUAAGGCGGAGGUCACGGGUUCAAAUCCCGUCAGUAGCU
rnacentral:tRNA from 1 species